rnacentral:rRNA from 1 species
CCUACGGGAGGCAGCAGUAGGGAAUUUUCGGCAAUGGGGGGAACCCUGACCGAGCAACGCCGCGUGAGCGAGGACGGCCUUCGGGUUGUAAAGCUCUGUCAUGUGGGAAGAACGGCUAGGAGAGGGCAUGCUCUUAGCGUGACGGUACCACAGGAGGAAGCCCCGGCUAACUACGCGCCAGCAGCCGCGGUAACACGUAGGGGGCGAGCGUUGUCCGGAAUUAUUGGGCGUAAAGGGCGCGCAGGCGGUCUCUUAAGUCUGAUGUGAAAGGCCACGGCUCAACCGUGGGAUGGCAUUGGAAACUGGGGGACUUGAGUGCAGGAGAGGGGAGCGGAAUUCCCGGUGUAGCGGUGAAAUGCGUAGAGAUCGGGAGGAACACCAGUGGCGAAGGCGGCUCUCUGGCCUGUAACUGACGCUGAGGCGCGAAAGCGUGGGGAGCGAACAGGAUUAGAUACCCUUGUAGUC